rnacentral:rRNA from 1 species
ACAGCAGUCGCCGCGGUAAUACGGAGGGUGCAAGCGUUACUCGGAAUUACUGGGCGUAAAGCGUGCGUAGGUGGUGGUUUAAGUCCGUUGUGAAAGCCCUGGGCUCAACCUGGGAAUUGCAGUGGAUACUGGGUCACUAGAGUGUGGUAGAGGAUAGUGGAAUUUCCGGUGUAGCAGUGAAAUGCGUAGAGAUCGGAAGGAACAUCUGUGGCGAAGGCGACUAUCUGGGCCAACACUGACACUGAGGCACGAAAGCGUGGGGAGCAAACAGGAUUAGAUACCCCAGUAGUCCCUGUCUCUUAUAC